rnacentral:rRNA from 1 species
CACGUAGGGCGCGAGCGUUGUCCGGAAUUAUUGGGCGUAAAGAGCUCGUAGGCGGCCUGUUGCGUCCGCUGUGAAAGCCCGGGGCUUAACCCCGGGUCGCAGUGGAUACGGGCAGGCUAGAGGUAGGUAGGGGAGAAUGGAAUUCCCGGUGUAGCGGUGAAAUGCGCAGAUAUCGGGAGGAACACCGGUGGCGAAGGCGGUUCUCUGGGCCUUACCUGACGCUGAGGAGCGAAAGCGUGGGGAGCAAACAGG